rnacentral:misc_RNA from 1 species
UCCUUCCAUCCAAAUAAGAGUUGUAAAGAUAAAUUAAGGAAAUUUCCUCUCAUUUUUCUCUCUCCGCUCUCUUUCCUUCCUCACUUUGUUUCCCAAACAGUGUUAAAGAUCGAUGGGUCUUCUUGAUAGCAUGCUAUUGAUAUUAACGAUUAUUGAAAUUGUUUGUAAUAUAGUUUAAUUUAGAAGGACUGAUUAGGAAUUAGGAAGGAAAACCUUUGUCUAGUUGGUGUUGUAGAUUAUAAUUACCCAUGUAAGUAAAAGUAUAAUUUUUUAGUAUUCUAAUAUAGAAUUGUGGCAGCAAGGACUAGUUUGGGAACAGGGAAUCUUGCCCAUUUAGUAUAUGAUUAUUUAACUAGAAUGGGAUCUUUUAGUUUUUUCUUAUGCUCUUUUUGUUUUAUGGAAAAUAACUUGUAUAUAAAAGUGUUUUUCAUGGAAAAUGUUUUCUAAAAAAAUAUUU